rnacentral:rRNA from 1 species
GAUCCUGGCUCAGGAUGAACGCUAGCUACAGGCUUAACACAUGCAAGUCGAGGGGUAGCAGGGUAGCAAUACCGCUGACGACCGGCGCACGGGUGAGUAACACGUAUCCAACCUUCCCAUAACUCAGGGAUAGCCUUUCGAAAGAAAGAUUAAUACCUGAUAGUACUUUUUCAAGGCAUCUUGAGAAAGUUAAAGAUUUAUUGGUUAUGGAUGGGGAUGCGUUCCAUUAGAUAGUUGGUGAGGUAACGGCUCACCAAGUCUUCGAUGGAUAGGGGUUCUGAGAGGAAGGUCCCCCACAUUGGUACUGAGACACGGACCAAACUCCUACGGGAGGCAGCAGUGAGGAAUAUUGGUCAAUGGGCGAGAGCCUGAACCAGCCAAGUAGCGUGAAGGAUGAAGGUCCUAUGGAUUGUAAACUUCUUUUAUAGUAGAAUAAAGUGAUCCACGUGUGGAUUUUUGUAUGUAUACUAUGAAUAAGGAUCGGCUAACUCCGUGCCAGCAGCGGC